AACGAACGCUGGCGGCAGGCUUAACACAUGCAAGUCGAGCGCCCCGCAAGGGGAGCGGCAGACGGGUGAGUAACGCGAGGGAAUCUACCCAUCUCUACGGAAUAACGCAUGGAAACGUGUGCUAAUACCGUAUACGUCCUUCGGGAGAAAGAUUUAUCGGAGAUGGAUGAGCCCGCGUUGGAUUAGCUAGUUGGUGGGGUAAAGGCCUACCAAGGCGACGAUCCAUAGCUGGUCUGAGAGGAUGAUCAGCCACACUGGGACUGAGACACGGCCCAGGCUCCUACGGGAGGCAGCAGUGGGGAAGAUUGGACAAUGGGCGCAAGCCUGAUCCAGCCAUGCCGCGUGAGUGAUGAAGACCCUAGGGUUGUAAAGCUCUUUCACCGGUGAAGAUAAUGACGGUAACCGGAGAAGAAGCCCCGGCUAACUUCGUGCCAGCCGCCGCAGUAAAAC
rnacentral:rRNA from 1 species